AUUGCAGGCUGCAACUCGCCUGCAUGAAGGCGGAAUUGCUAGUAAUCGCGAAUCAGAAUGUCGCGGUGAAUACGUUCCCGGGCCUUGUACACACCGCCCGUCACACCGUGAGAGUCGAUAACACCCGAAGCCUGUGAGCUAACUAAUAGAGGCAGCAGUCGAAGGUAGAAUCAAUGAUUGGGGUGAAGUCGUAACAAGGUAGC
rnacentral:rRNA from 1 species